CCUACGGGAGGCAGCAGUGGGGAAUAUUGGACAAUGGGGGGAACCCUGAUCCAGCCAUGCCGCGUGUGUGAAGAAGGCCCUCGGGUUGUAAAGCACUUUCAGUGAGGAAGAACGCCUGGUGGUUAAUACCCAUCAGGAAAGACAUCACUCACAGAAGAAGCACCGUCUAACUCCGUGCCAGCAGCCGCGGUAAUACGGAGGGUGCGAGCGUUAAUCGGAAUUACUGGGCGUAAAGCGCGCGUAGGUGGCUUGAUAAGCCGGUUGUGAAAGCCCCGGGCUCAACCUGGGAACGGCAUCCGGAACUGUCAAGCUAGAGUGCAGGAGAGGAAGGUAGAAUUCCCGGUGUAGCGGUGAAAUGCGUAGAGAUCGGGAGGAAUACCAGUGGCGAAGGCGGCCUUCUGGACUGACACUGACACUGAGGUGCGAAAGCGUGGGUAGCAAACAGGAUUAGAUACCCCAGUAGUC
rnacentral:rRNA from 1 species